AAACCGUUCAGGGGUAAACCUGUGAAACCCAAAAGAUCGAAUGGGGAGAUUCAUCGUCAACGUAUUUGGUAUUAAUGCAAGUUAUGAUGUGAAUUAUUUGCUCUUUCGGGAACAAUGUUUAUACAUAUUUGUAUUAUUUUAUUGCUAAAUAUCGUCGGCGUGCACUUCUCCCCUAGUAGAACGUCGUGACCCGUUGGGUGUUGAUCUACGGCCCAGUUGACAGUCUUUGAUAACGCUUUAAUCGGCGAUUAUUAUUAAAAAUCACUGGUGUAUCCUGAUCAUCUGCCCGGCGGUAUUCGUACGAUAUUGAGCCGCAAAAUAUUAUAUAAUUUGCGUUAAACCCGUCACAAGCCCAGAUAAUUUACGGUAGUUAUGGACCUAGUGCCAUCGCUGUAAUUAUCUAGCUGUUGGUUGUUGCGGUGUUCUUUAACUGGCUCAAAUAAAUUAUCGGUCGGCGACGCUACUGCUUUGGGUACUUUCAGGA
rnacentral:rRNA from 1 species